GGGGCCGUAGCUCAGUUGGGAGAGCGCUGCGUUCGCAAUGCAGAGGUCAGGGGUUCGACCCCCCUCGGCUCCA
rnacentral:tRNA from 1 species